UUAUAGGCACAUGAAGUCAUGCUCAGAGCAGUGACCAAUUCUCAGUGAAGAAAACGUUCCCACUGGCCCAUUCUCAAUCUCAGAGUCAUCCAACCGGGUCCCAGAGUGGAAGGGGGAAGGGAAGACACGUCGGGACAUGCCUGAGCUGUGGUGAGCACUACAGCCAAGUGCUGUGCACGUUCCCUUCAACCAGGUGGGGCCAGGACAGCUGCCACUCUCACUCAGGGAAAGAACCAGAAAGCGGAGGGCUCAACAAUGUGUCCCGGGCUACUCAGGGACAGAACGGCCACCCCCGGAGCCGCUUUAACUCCAGAGACCAGGCUCUUUGCUGCAAAACGACAUCUCCAGAGGAAAAGGACCUCCUCAAGAGCCCGUCUGCCAGACCGGCGACAAUAUGGAAGUGGAAAAGCAUCCCUAUUGACGAGGCGGUGGCACACAGGCAUGCUCCCGCUCUGUGGUAAUAUUCUGCAGCAGGAAAGAGGAGAAAGAACAUUGUCUAUGAAAUAAUACGGAAAGUUUCCCAAGAUAUGCAUAAGUGCCCCCAGCAUCUCGGCUGAGCUCCCUGGUGUCAGAGACCCAACUGGACAGAAGACGUCACGCAGUGGGGUGUGCUGCCAAGAGGAGAGGUCUGCAAUUGGCUCACUGCUGCAAAUCUUGCUUGGGUGAGACUAUUCCAGAGUCCCACAAUGGAGAGCGGGUGAAAUGGACAGAGUUCUGCAUGGGGCGAUGGGUACUAAUCAGUGGUGAGACCCAGGAAUGCUGCCAUCUCCAUAGGCUUCCUCUGGUAAGUGGGGAUAAUGCGAGGCCAUGGCAGAAGCCAGAGGCUCUUGUGCUCUUCCUAGAUGGAGCUGAGCACACAGCACUGAGGGCAGCAGUUGCUCGUGCCUCCCGCUCUGCCACGGACCAGCUGGGUGACCUACAACAAGCGAGGUGACCUCGCUGGGCCUCCCUGUUUUCUCAUCUGUGCAACGUGGAUAAAACUACUUCAGAGAGUUGUUGUGAAAGUCAAGGGAAUAAAUCUAUAUAAAUUGCCCAGAACGGUACCUGGCAUCUAGUAAGUGCCAUAUGGGUUUUAGCUGUUACUUAAGCUCUGUAAUUUUAUGAUUCGAUUACAUAAGCUACGCAUGCGCACAAUAAUCAUCACGAUAAAAAUACAGUGUGUAUAUGUCCAAUAUGUACCUGAUCACACAAACACAACGCACGUCGAUCCAUGUGCAUGUUCACAAACACAUGCAUGCACACACACGAAGAUGGAAACGGUGCCAUGAAUGCUGGGAAAGGCCCUUCCCCACUCUCAUGAUCCAGAUCUGAAGUCUGUGUUGCCUAUGUGUCAAACCCCGACUACUUUCGAAGUCAUUCCAAGAUGUGCAAGGGCACCAGAUUUGGAUUUGUGGGAGGCAGCAAUCAAAUCUGUGCCUUUCCCACCUUACCCCCCAGCCCAUCGAAGUCCAAACAGCCAGGGUGACGUGACGGCCUUGUUGGCUGGCAAGGCAGGACGUCUCUCUGUGGCUGGCAGGGCUUCCCUGCUACGGGAGAUUAAAGGCCUCAGAACCACGUUAUUACAAACAGCUAUAAAAGCCAAAUUCCCUCAAGGCAGAUACAAAAUGCAACCCUGCAUUUUACUUAAAAUGAUCAAGGAAUCAGCUGUACUGAUGGCAAGAGCCAUUUAUAGUAAAAUUCAUUUAGAGAAAACUAUUUCUCCAAACAUAACGAUUAGAAAAACACAGUGUGCUAUGUUUUUAAAGAAUCUUGUUUAAAGACAUUUAAUUUUUUUCAGGAGAUAUGACAGAGCUCCAUUAGGAAGCAUAUCUGAGAAUAGGCCAGAAGCCACUGUGAGAGGCCGAAGGGUGGGCCCACACAGCCCAGGUCAAGUGCUUGAGUCCCGCCUCUGUCCUGAAAGGGAGGACAGGUCAGCUGAAGGCAACUCCUCCUUACUGGAAAGAAGGCAGUCUUAAAAAUGGAGAACAAAGCCCAGUGUGACUGUAUUCUAGGUGGGAUCAUCCAAACAGGGCCACUGUGCUUAAAAAUCCUUACGCUGUCCUGCUUGUGAAGCCCAAAUAAAACUGACAAAUACU